GCUGGGAGCCGCUGACUGCACCCAUUCCGCGAUGGACGAGUCAGCUCGCCCCGCGGUGGAUGGAGUUCUGCGCUGCUCCCGCUGGAAGUGAGAAGCAGUCCUGCGGAGACUUCAUCCUCGGGGCCAGCCUGGGCUAGCGAAAGCCAGCUUCUCCUGGGGCACAGAAUCUUCUCAGAGAUGCCCGUCGUCUCCAUCUAAACAGGAAGACUGGGAACAAAGUAGCCCGGAGCUUGGGAAAGAAAGGCCAGAGAAAGAGUUAAGAAGCAGAAAAUCCAGGAUUAGAAGUCAAGCACUGGAGAAUCCACCCCAAGAAAUUUUUAAUGGUUUCCAGAUUACAAACCGCUUUCUUCACAGUACUGGCAAAUACCCCAUGGCUCUCCACAUCUGGUUAACUUUACUUUACCACUUUAUUGCCCAAUAAUCAUAUGUUAAGGUGUUGAAAUCCACAGUCUAUCUACUCCUGGACUUUGAGGUCACAAUGAUGUCAAACAUCCAAGAGGCUUUCAGGUUAACCAGCCUAAUACUGUCACCUGCUUUCUAAGUCCUUCUCUUUCUUCAAAACCAAAGUCUUGUCUUCUCUGAGAAGGUUUAUUCUGACAAAGCCAACUGAAAUGAAUUCCUUCCGCUUUUAGUCCUUGAACAAUCAAUGUACUUGUAAAAACUCUCUCCUGAGACAGAGUUGAUUAUUAAUUACUCCAUAACUUUUGUUUUGUCUAUCCCAAGUUAACCAUAAACUUUAAAAUCAGCACUGGGGAUUUCCCUGGUUGUGCUGUGGUUAAGAAUCCGCCUGCCAAUGCAGGGGCACGGGCUGGAGCCCUGGUUAGGGAAGAUCCCACAUGCUGCGGAGCAACUAAGCCCAUGCACCACAACUACUGAGCCUGCGCUCUGCAGCCCGUGAGCCACAACUACUGAAGCCCACUCCCAUAGAGCCCAUGCUCCACAACAAGAGAAGCCACUGCAAUGAGAAGCGCGCACACCGCUAUGAAGAGUAGCCCCUACUCGCCACAACUAGAGGAAGCCCGUGCACAGCAAUGAAGACCCAACUCAGCCAAAAAUAAAUAAAUUAAAUAAAUAAAUUUAUAGAUAAAUAAAAAAAUAAACAAAAUCAGCA